AAUGAAUCCAUAUUAAAUUGAAAUGUCGCAAGUUGAAAAUGCAUUUAAUACACUUAGUCUACUAAACAUCAUAGCUUAGGCUAGCCUACCUUAAACGUGCUCAGAACACUUACAUUAGCUUACAAUUGGGCAAAACCAUUUGGUAACACCAUACACCAUAGGGUAUUUGUCAUUUACCCAGUGACACCGUGGCUGAAUGGGAGCUGGGGCUCACUCUCACCGUCCAGAACUGCAAGAGAGUAUUGUGCUUGCAUAUUGCUAACCCAGGAAAAGAUCAAAAUUCAGAUUUCAAAGUACAGUUUCUAAUUAAUGCAUGUUGUUUUCAACAAUCUUAAAGUUUAAAAAAAUCAACCAUUGUAUAAGUCAGGAACCACCUGUACAAUGAAGCAAAGAAAGUUUCUGAAACUAGGAAUUAGCCUCACCACUUUGUAUUUUGUUUCAGUGACUCCUGUAGUUAUUUCCUUCAAGAAAUAUGUCCCCUAAACCUAUAUUGUUCAGAAUUAUUAUUUUAACAUAGUCACAUAGAACACAUAAGGUAGUCAUUUCAAAGAAAAAGAUAUUUUUCAAGUUCAAGGGAAGGAAAAAGUUAAACAAAAAGCACUAUGAUUUUUGAUGAGCACUUUCUCAGAGACCUGGGCAAAGUAGGAGAACAUUAUGUGAUGCCAGCUAAGAAUAUCAAGUUCUAUAUGGUUUAAACCAGAGUAAUGCUGGGAUGUUUACCUCAGCUGCCAGAGAAAAAGUCUAUAGUGGGCUGCACCCUGUGAAAUCAUCUGCUCCAACAUGAAUUUUGGUCUCUAGACUCAUGUUAUUUAAUUCUUCAGAGCAGCCUCUACCUUGGUAACAGGUGUCUGGGAUUAGAAGUAAAACCUCAGCUGCAGUGAUGUCUCACAUGCAUGCUGCUUAGAACUCAUAUGAGAUGCUGGGACUUGCCUAUUGGAAGGGAGGAAUAAGAUGCCUCUCAGAGCAGCUGGCAUUGUGGACAUUCUUCCCAUAGAAGGAACAGGAAAAAAUACACUUCUAUCUUGAACACAUACAACUUGCUAACACAAGAACUCUUCAGGGAGUUAGGCAAGUCUGUCAAGUUUGUUUCUUCAGUAUUCUCUUAUUAAGUUGACUACUGUAUAUCAUUAAAGUAAGAAAAGCUUAUCAUGAAAAUGAUUAACAUUUAGGUAUAAUAUUUGAAUAUAUAUUUUCUAUUGGUAAGUAAUUAUGUAUUAUAUCUACACUAGAAUUAAUAAUUAAAAAUUAAAACCUAUCCUAUUUGAAAAUUACAGAUUCUGUUAGAAGCAUCAAAUUAAAAAAUCUUAAAUUUGGGUGGUUCAGGUUAGUAAAUAUGUAAUUGCUUUUCAUGUAAAUGGUGUUCAUCAAAGAAAAGGAAAGGUCUCUGUGUAUAUAUGUUCAAUGAUGUAUGUACUUUCGUGAAGCCACUGCAAGACUAGCACUUUUAAUUAAAGAAAAAAAAAAUCCAGGGUUUAUGUGGUUCAAGACAGAGAAAAAAAUAAAACUUCUGCAGUCAUCUGGGAAAGAAGGUUUAAGGAGGAAAUGCAAGCUUAUGUUCUAUAUGUAGCAAGAAGCUUUGUUAAAUGUUGACGUGUAAAAUCUACUCAUGAUUUUUUUUUUUUUGGAACUUACAAUUAGAAAAGACUUUAGCAGUACUGUGGUCCAAACAGUUUACUUUCAACAGUCCCAGAAAUUCUAAGUGACUAGUUGUGUGAAUUGGAAAUGAAUUCUUAGCCACUAUGGGCUUCAGUGUUUCACACUCAAAAAAAAUGUGUUCUGUAAGUUUAUCUCUAACCAUAAAAUUCAAGGCUAUUUCCUUAAUUUUAGUCUAAUAUUUGUAACUAUUCACUCUAAAGAAAUUUCAUUACCUGUAAUAAAUAUCUUCCAUUAAUUUUGUGUCAGUGUAUGUGUGUCUGUGUUUAUUUGUGUACAUUUAUCUGGCAAACAGUUGCCAGGUAGAUUUAGUAAAAGACAAAUACGGGUUCAAGAAAAUGGCCACAAUGAGCAAUUUUUUAAAUGAAAUUAUAGGAAGUUUAGAAGUUGCUGAAUGGUACAAAAAUAAUAUAAAAAUACUAGCUAUACCUCACACUCAGGUUUAACAGUUGUUAACUUCAUGCCAUAUUUGUUUCAAGAAUAUAUAUAAAAUUUAGAAAUAAAAUAUUAUAAUUCAGUCUGGCUUCGAACCUCUCUUUGAUCUUAUUUACUUUUCCCCUUUUUCAUAGGUAACCGCCAUUCUAACUACUCUUAUAUGUGCCGUUAUAUGUGCCUAUGUUUUUAAACCUUACCACUUAUGGGGAAUAUCAUUAAAACAAUGCAUAAUACUGUUUGAUUUGUACUAAAAAUACACAUAAAUUAUGUUUUAUUGACUUUUCUUUACACACUAAUUUUCUACUGGCUAAUAUAUUUUUGAAAUUUACCCAUGUAGAUAUCUUUAACUUGAUGCACUUUAUUAUAAAAUGUAUUCAUUCAUCCCUAGAUGGUCAGUUAAUUUCACUAAGAUAAAUAAUGUUAAGGUGAACCUACUUGUAUUUGUAUAUGAUUAAUUGUUGGGUUGCAAGAAAUUACUAAUGAUUUACAAAUCUCCAAUAUGAGAGUAUCAAAAUAAGUGUCCUCAGCAACAUCAUUAAGUGUGUGGAAGUUUCAGUUUUUCUAUAUUACCACCAACAUUUUGGUUUAACACAUUUUAAAAUGUUUGCUUGGUUUGAGGUAGCAUUGUUUAAAUUUUCACUUCUCUGGUAAUAAAGCAUUUUUCCAUAAGUAUUGGCUAUUCAGGUUUCUUCUUCUGUUAGUUGCCUAUGCAUAUCCUUUAUACCUUUUCCUUUUAGGUUUUUGUUUGGUAGAGGUGUCUUCUUCUUGUUGAUUGGUAAGAAAUUAUUUUUUUAGGCACUAAUCUUUGCCAAUUAUGGGUGUGGCACAUCUCUUCACUGUCUUUAUACCUUGUGUAUUUCACUUUAAAAUAAUAUAAUCUUUGUUUUCUAUAGAAGUUUUUUUAAUGCUAGUUUAAAUAUAGUUUAUAGGUUUAAUUUAAAUAUAAAUCUUUUACAUUAUUAUUUUUUCUGUCUUGUUUAAGAAAUCCUUCCCUAUUCAGACACCAUAAAGCUAUUUUAUAUUUCCUCUAAAAAUUAGCUUGUCUUUUAAGAUUUUUCAAAUAUACCUAAAAUUAUUUUCUGUCAUGUUGAUACACAGACAGAUAGAGUAGAGAUGAGCAAAAAAGUGUGUAGGCCUGUGAUAACAGUGUUAGUGAAGAUGCAGAGGUAAGAGAAGGCAUGGCUAGUGCAAGGAAAUGAAAAAAAAAA